rnacentral:rRNA from 1 species
CCUACGGGAGGCUGCAGUGGGGAAUAUUGGACAAUGGGGGCAACCCUGAUCCAGCCAUGCCGCGUGUGGGAAGAAGGCCCUCGGGUUGUAAAGCACUUUCAGUGAGGAAGAACGCCUGGUGGUUAAUACCCAUCAGGAAAGACAUCACUCACAGAAGAAGCACCGGCUAACUCCGUGCCAGCAGCCGCGGUAAUACGGAGGGUGCGAGCGUUAAUCGGAAUUACUGGGCGUAAAGCGCGCGUAGGUGGCUUGAUAAGCCGGUUGUGAAAGCCCCGGGCUCAACCUGGGAGCGGCAUCCGGAACUGUCAAGCUAGAGUGCAGGAGAGGAAGGUAGAAUUCCCGGUGUAGCGGUGAAAUGCGUAGAGAUCGGGAGGAAUACCAGUGGCGAAGGCGGCCUUCUGGACUGACACUGACACUGAGGUGCGAAAGCGUGGGUAGCAAACAGGAUUAGAUACCCCGGUAGUC